CCUACGGGAGGCAGCAGUGAGGAAUAUUGGUCAAUGGGCGGAAGCCUGAACCAGCCAAGCCGCGUGAGGGAUGACGGCCCUAUGGGUUGUAAACCUCUUUUGCCGGGGGACAAAGUGCCGCACUAGUCCGGUUUGGAGAGUACCCGGAGAAAAAGCAUCGGCUAACUCCAUGCCAGCAGCCGCGGUAAUACGGAGGAUGCGAGCGUUAUCCGGAUUUAUUGGGUUUAAAGGGUGCGUAGGCGGACGCUUAAGUCAGCGGUAAAAUCGCGGGGCUCAACCCCGUCGAGCCGUUGAAACUGGGUGCGUUGAGUGGGCGAGAGGUAUGCGGAAUGCGUGGUGUAGCGGUGAAAUGCAUAGAUAUCGCGCAGAACUCCGAUUGCGAAGGCAGCGUACCGGCCCCCAACUGACGCUGAGGCACGAAGGCGUGGGUAUCGAACAGGAUUAGAUACCCGAGUAGUC
rnacentral:rRNA from 1 species